UAAACCCCAAAAAACUCCCCACCUUUUUCUUUUUUACAUUUCUUCCCUUACAGACAUAAACCCCACCAUACAUUAAGCUUCCUUAAUUCCCUAAGUUUAGCCCACUUGUUUGCUUGCAUGUUUUAUGCCAAUUCUAUAGUUUUUCUUUUUUCUUUUGUGGGGUUUUUCAUUUUUCUCUCCUUCAUUUCUUUGAUCAUGACCAAGCAAACUUUUUCUCUCUUUUCUACCCUUUUUUCCCUUCUCCCCUUCUAAAUAUAUACCUCCAUUUCUUCCUCUCUUCACCUCCUUCUCAACUUUCCCAACUCUCUCUCUCUCUCCAACUAUUCAUCUCUCUCUCUAGGAUCUUUGUUCUUCUCCAAAUGGCCAAGAACACAAAACCCAUCUUCUUCUCUCUCUAUAUGAUUCUAUUGUUUUAGAAUUUUACAUCUCAGACUAACGAGCAAGGAGAUUCUUCAAUUCUAUACGAAUCUCUUACUAGAAUUAGAGAGAUAUCUAACUAUUGAGUUAAUGUUCAGAUUGGCAAUUUUUGUUCAUUCUCUUACUGGAAUUUGAUUUUCCAUAAGAGAAAUUUGGUAGGGUUUUGAUUAAUUUUCUCCUCCUAUAGAAAAAGGGAAAAGCUAGUGUCAUGCAAAAACUCCACACACAUACCAUUAACUAACCCAUCCAAUGGUUGUUUGAUAUGGUGAUCUUUUGUUGUGUGUGUAUGUGCCUGGCUCCCUGUAUGCCAUUUGUAGAGCGCAUCGGAAUCCGAUGGGCCUCCGCAGAUGGCGUAUGAGGAGCCAUGCAUAUAUCUUAAUUUCACCUAUAUCUUCUCUCUCUUUGUGAAUUAGGGUUUCAUUUCAAACCCUCAAAAGUUAAGGUUUUUGUCAAAUUUUGCAGAAGGGGUUGUGGGGGAUGACGAAGAAGAAGAAGGGUAAAAGUGAAAAUGUUUCCCUGUGGAGGGAUUAUUCGUUAAUAACCCAAAAUUUGCAGGAAAACGAGGAGUCUCUGCACAGAAGAACCAUGGGAAAAAACAAAUCUACUGUGGAUCUAUUGGCUCAAAUUGACGGCUAUAUUGAAAACAAAUCAAACCAAUUCACAGGUAGCAGUACCGUUUUCUUGGUAUGUGGAAGUAAUGUCAACCAUCAGUGUAAUCAUCAACUUCAUUUUCUCUAAAGGUGAUAACCAUUCUCUUAAACUUUGGUUAUAAAUAAAUCGAUUAGGCAUCUUUGUAUAGAAUGGAGCGUACAUAUCACAUAUGAUAAGAUAAGGACAAAACCAAUAAUAUUGGAAAUGAUAAGAUAGGGUUGAUAUAGUCUAUACUAUACACCCAAAAUCAAAAGGGUUCAACAUCAAUAUUCAAAUUCAAUCAAUAAUAUCUCUAAAACGUAACGUAACAAAUUGUAAAAUUAUUUACUUAAAGAAAUAUGGAAUUUGGACAUGGGAGAGAUGGAUAGUUUUAACUGUGGGGGGUGAAAUACACACGUCCUGUACUCAGGGCUGAGACUGAGGGGGGAAAAGCAAAUGAUUGUGGGAAAAAGAAAAGGGUAAAAAAAAGAAGCAAAGAUGUGAUGAGGGAAGAGAUAUAAUAUAGUAAAUAAGUAAUAGAAAUCUGGAAAAUUGAGAGGGUAAAAUAUAGAAUUCUGAUGAAUAUAUUUAGAUAUAUAUAUUUAUAAAGAGAGACAGCAAAAGAAAAAGAAUCUCUCACUUUCUCUAUUCUGAUCCUUUUAAAUUUCUCUCUCUACACACACGAUCGAAAGAGAUAUAUGGACUGAGAGGAAUCUCUCCCUUAAUUUGGACCCAAUGAAAACCAAUAAACAAACACUUUAAUUUUAACUAUGGCCUCUUUCAUGAUAAUCAUUUAAGUCCAAUGAUUUGUUUUUAGUUUGAAAGUUAUGUAUGCAUGUAAAUGUAAAUACUUGUUUUUACCUCUAAAUUUAAUAUUCUGACGUCGAAAAUGGAUAGUAAAUUCGAUAUAUAUAAAGUUGUGAGUUCACUAUAUAAAAGAGAAUUUUGAAUAAUUUCUGCUUUUGUGUCUUCCAUAUCUCUCUCAGUCUCAAUCCCCUCCGUCAUCACGAUUAAGGAGAGAUCUGUUUCUGCUUUUGUUUCUCACUGCACACAAUACAUAUGAAAAGGGGGAGAAGGAUACACAGAAGUGGCAGAAGGAGAAGGACAAUAUGAUAAUAUAUAUGACACACAUUACUCUCACCUUAAUCAGUUUAAAUUUAAAAUUUUUGUAACCUUCUUUAGAGUGAAUACUUAUUAGAUAUAAGUAAAUUGCAACACUUUUUUUUAAGAAAGACCUCAUGUUAUUAAGCCUUUGAGGGCAAAACACAGGAAAAUACAGAAGGAAAGAUCAGUCAUCUCUACAACAUUAUUAAAAUCCUAAGAAAAUGAAGAGUUACAGAUUGAAAUGGA